GACGAACGCUGGCGGCGUGCUUAACACAUGCAAGUCGAACGGAAAGGCCCUGCUUUUGUGGGGUGCUCGAGGGGCAAACGGGUGAGUAACACGUGAGUAACCUGCCCUUGACUUUGGUAACAUUUCGGAACACGGGGGCAAACCCGGUAGGGGCUCCCGCUGCACAGGGGGGGGUUGGAAAUUUUGGGGGGUUGGGGUGGGAUCCCGGGCUUAUCCGCUUGUUGGGGGGGUUGGGGCUUACCAAGGCUUUGGCGGGGUACCGGCCGGGGGGGGGGACCGGCAACAUGGGGACUGGGAUACGGCCCAGACCCCUACGGGAGGCAGAAGUGGGGAUUAUUGCACAAUGGGCGGAAGCCGGAUGCAGCAACGCCGCGUGCGGGAUGACGGCCUUCGGGUGGUAAACCGCUUUCGCCUGUGACGAAGUGUGAGUGACGGUAAUGGGUAAAGAAGCACCGGCUAACUACGUG
rnacentral:rRNA from 1 species